rnacentral:rRNA from 1 species
AAGGGAGAGGAAUACGUAGAAAUCUACCCCUGAGACCGGGAUAGCGUCGGGAAACUGGCAGUAAUACCGGAUAAUGUCUUAGGACCAAAGGUGUGAUUUCACUUGGGGAUGAGUCUACGCCCUAUUAGCUAGUUGGUGGGGUAAUGGCCUACCAAGGCGAUGAUGGGUAGCGGGUGUGAGAGCAUGAUCCGCCUCACUGGGACUGAGAACUGCCCAGACACCUACGGGUGGCUGCAGUCGAGAAUCUUUGUCAAUGGACGAAAGUCUGAACAAGCGACGCCGCGUGCGGGAUGAAGGCCUUCGGGUUGUAAACCGCUGUCGUAGGGGAACAAAUGUACGGGGGUACUCCCCUGUAUUUGAGUGAUCCUAGGAGGAAGGAGAGGCUAAGCUCGUGCCAGCAGCCGCGGUAAGACGAGCUCUCCAAACGUUAUUCGGUAUCACUGGGCUUAAAGAGUUCGUAGGCGGCCUAGCAGGUCAGGUGUGAAAUCCCACAGCUCAACUGUGGAAUAGCGCUUGAAACCGUUAGGCUUGAGGGAGAUAGAGGUAGGCGGAACAGAUGGUGGAGCGGUGAAAUGCGUUGA